UCUCAAUGAUUUGAAUUUUUUAUUUCCCCCACACCCAAAUUAACUCCCCUACAUCUAACCCUAUCUGCUCAAUUCUCCCGUUCCCAAUCGAUCUAUGAUUCCUCUCCACCUUUUCCCCCUAAAUUGAUCAACGAAAAUUAGUGUCUCGAUCUAUAUCUCUGGUGGAAACCGUCUUCGUUAAUUAAGAUAAGUUCAAUCUCUCUUCUUGAUUUCUUUUUAUUUCCAUUCGAUUUAGUUCUGAAAUUUUCUGUUGUAAGUUGUUUUGUUUAGUGUGGUUGAUUUUAUAUCUAGAUAUUUGGAGACUGUUAGGUUUAUUUGUAGUCUUUGCACACAACCUGUCUGAUGAAAUGCUACAUAGAAAAAAGCAAGAUAUCUUAAAUUGAAUCCUAAUCGUCCGCAGGUGUCCGCAGGUGCGCCUUGCGUCUUUGAGAACAUAGGUUUGGCAUAUGCAGUACAUUCUCUUUAUGAACGUAUUAUUUAUUUUAUGUAGAUCAGAUUGUUAGUGAUGCCAUUGAUUAGUAUUUGGGUUUUAUUCAUUGUUGAAUGAUUCAUAUUCUGGACUGGUCGUUGCUAGAAUAACAUGUUUAAGUUUGAUACUUGGACUUCUUUGGAGUGUCAAAUUAUUUGGUAUGCUCUACUUAUAUUCUAAAAGGACCAUAUUUGUGUUUCAUGUAUUAAUUAAACUGCAAGUAUAGUUGUCUUAUUAUGUGAACUAUACACUAUGAUUUUUUUCAUGUAAGCAUAAUAACAAAUAAGUGAUUUGGGUAACAGGUCAAAACUGGACAGGUUGAGUUGAGCUAAAACAUUUUUACUGAAUUCAUACCAACAUUGGCACAAGAUCAAAGCUGAAAUUAUACUGAACUUAACCAUUUUUAUUGGACUAUAAUGUAAGUGAGAAAACAUAAAAGUGAGGUGUGAAGACAGUAUGGGAUUUCAAAACUUGAUUGUGUCACCUCUACCAUCAGCUCCAACCUUAAUAAGAUCGCCACUUGUUUUGCUCCGUCCUGGACGUCGAACUUCCAACGGAGACGAUGCGACGGGAUGAAGACGGAGGGGGGCGGCAUGGAGGUUGGAUCGGCGCCGAGGGAGGACGGGCUGGACGACGCAGCCAUACCGUGCAGCCUAAGAGCUGAUGUUUUCUUAUCGUGGGCCUUAAAUGAUGCACCAACAGCGAGCGUGGCCCAUUAGAUGUCAAUUAGUGGCGAAUAGCUGUCUUUCGUUAUACCAAUUGAUUCAAAUUUCCAAAGUAAAAUAAAUUUCAGUUUCUAUUGAAGGUAAUGGCCGUGUAUGCUUCACGAAGUGGUGCAGCCAACAUAAGGGUUAAACACAUCUGGAUUAACGCUAAUUGUCCACGUCAGCCAGGGGUACUGAAUGCGGCUACUAUGUGAUGAAAUUCAUGAAGGAGAUAACUUACGAAGGAGUUGAAAUAUUUGACAAUGAUAAUGUUGGGAAAGGAGAAGAGGAAUACUCAGCUGUGGAUAUGGAUGGCAUUCGCGAAGAUUGGUCGACUUAUGCAGUUACCUCUAUUUUUAAGUGACUAAUCGUAUUUUAGGUGUUGACCAUGUAUUGACAAACAAUUCUUUUUUUUAUGUUAAUGUUAAAAUAUUUGUAGUAUACUUAUGAUAAUAUAAUGGAAUUGUUUUGAUA